rnacentral:lncRNA from 1 species
CAUAAUCCCGUCUGCCCCAUCCCUUGACCCGACCUGCUCCCCAAAUUUAACACACGCAAGCAGAGACUGCUUAAGCCCUAAUCUCCCAAAUACGCGUACUGUUCUUCUUCUCACGAAGAACACGCGAGCAAGCUCCAAAUUCCGUCCAAGUUCAUGGCGAGUGAGCAUCAAUCUUCAACCCACGCGUUCUCCCCAUCCAUCCUCUCUCCGUUCUAACGGAUUUCUCACCAAAGAUUCUCAUUCCUCUCAUCGCCCGAUCUUGAACUAUCUCACGCGAUUAGAAGGUGAUAGAGACGAGUGGUUGGAUGAUUGUGAGGCAUUGGACUGAUUUCAUUCAAUCCGAGCCCCACAUUCAUCAAGGGGUUCGUUUCAUAAAGGAUUGGAGCCGAUUCUGAGACGGAGAGGAAGAACUUUUGAGCAUAAAACUGAGGUUUGAAAAAGAGUCUUUCUUCUUCUACUCCAUUGUAGAUUACAAUUUAGUUCGAGUCCAUAAGAAAAUACAGAAAAAUAUACUCUUCUGCGUUAAAUUCUAUUUUCCUUUGUUAGAAUCAGAAAACGAAAAAAAAAGUUUCGAUUUCUUUGCAUAUCAUCGCUGUUUAAUCGUGCUUGUGAUGGAAUUGGUUUACAAAUGGAGCUCGUUUGAGAAUUGCUGAUUUCGUCGCUGUCUAAACUUCUGAUCUCUGCUCGUCUUAGCUACUGAUUUGGCUGUGUUUCGAGCCUUCUGUUAUUUUACUGUUGAAAGUUUGGAGUCGAAACUUUGUAAUCGCCUUCGAUUCUGCUAUCAAAAGAAGUUUGAAAUUUCAGGUUCAAUCUUCAUCUCUUUGCUCUUGCGAUUCUAUUUCGUUUCAGUGCUUUGAACGAUGUAUUUCUGUCUCGCAUGGUGGUAGGAUCAAAUUUCGUGUUGAAUGAAUUCAUCCUCAGUGGUGUGAUGUAUUUGAGUAUCUUCAGUUAGUAGAAGCUGAUUUUAAUUGGUCGUUUUCUAUGGUUUAACUGUUAUUAUGAUGUCGAGUUUUCAUUUGAGUCCAAAUUUUGUCAUUUUCACAUAGCUGUUAUAGUUUGGUUGGUCUGUCGUUUUGAAACUGUUCUCACCUGCUGGAACUGGAAGGUUGGUUCCUGACUUUGUUUGAUUUUGAGCGUUAUACUGUGAGUAUGGAAAUCGAUUAGUUCAUUUGCUCGUUUCCUAAGUAUUCUGGAUUGUAUCUGUUAGUUCGAAUUUGAAAUAGAUUUUGCAACUUUCUAUGUAAUUUUCGGUCCAUUAAUGAUUUGGUCUUUAGAUAAAAGUUUGCUGUGAGCUUGCUUACUUUCAUGCUUAACCCAUUCAAGUGCAGGAAUUAACACCAUGAAGCUUAGAAUCAGUGCCUUAACUUUUGAAUCUGAAAUGCAAUUAAGCUUAGAAUCUGUGCCUUGCCUACAGAGUAUUUGAAGGUGAUUGUUCCAAUGAAUUAUUCUUUUCCUAAGAGCUUCAGUUCUAAGGCUACUGCUAAUAACAUAAUUUCACAUGAAUGUACUGGACCUUUCUUUCUUUUAAUCCUCUUGUUCUUUUCCCCACCUUGGACCAAUCACGUUUAGACUUUGCAAGGCAAUUUGGUUGUGCAAAGAGCUGAAAGUUACCAUUUCGAUUUUCCUUAGUGUAUUAGUUAUUAGGUUCUGAUUUUCACUUUUACUUUGCCAAUCUAAGUUGUUCUUCCUCUAGCUAACAUUCUGUUUUUCUUCCCAUGUUCAGUUUUGAGUGCGCUUGUUUAACUGGUUUGGUUACGCUUAAACCAUUUUCGAAUCAGUUUGGUUAAGCAUGAUUUCGAGUCAGUCUGCUUGAAUUUAGAUCUAUUGUUAGUUGGAAAUUCCAAUGUGUACUUAUUGUGUGGUUUGGGGUCUCUAAGCCCAAAACUCGAAUGGUAAUCGACUAGUUAAUUUUUAGUGGCAAGCCAUGGGUUUUGAGUUAGGUAGCAAGUUUUAAUCUAAAAGGUUCGUCCUUUUGUUUGGACCCAGACUUGAACUUGAAGCCCUAGCUUUAAUAAUAAUCUAAUUAGGAUCUUUUCUUUUCUUUUAGAGACAAAAAGAAAAUUAGAAAAAUAUAGUUUAUUUUAGGUUUAUCCUUUUAAAAUAAAAUGAGACGAGCCUCGCCCAACAAAAAAUAUAAAUUGCUGGGCCCUCAGUGAAGGUUUAAAAAUAUUUAGAAAAUUGGGAAGGUUCGUUUAGCGAAUUUCACGACCCUCCCCAAAUAUUACAACGCGUUAGACCCUAUUAGGCGCGACUUUAAUAAAUUACAUUCCUAAAUACGGGUGGACAUUUUAUGCGGCCUAAAUUCAAAUCCUAAAACGUUGAAUAGAGUAUGCCUAGGAUUGCGGGUUCAGUUGAUGCGGCGCAAUCUGAAAACACACUUUAAAUGACGUUCACUUUCUCUUAAAUUAAUAUUAUAUUAAAUAAAAGCGGUUAAGCAUAAAAUUGGCACAUAGGCUCUUCAUGUAAUAAAAUCAGACAAAAGUUACAUGCAACAGUUGAGCUACCGUGCUAGAACCACGAAACUCGGGAAUGCUUAACACCUUCUCCUGGGUUAACAGAAUUCCUUAUCCGGAUUUCUGAUUUGCGGACUAUUAACAGAGUCAUCUUUUUCCUUGUUUCGGGAUUCAAUCGGUGACUUGGGCCACUAUUAAUAUCCCAAGUGGCAACUCUGAAUAAUUAAUAAACAAGUCCAGUUUCAAUUGUCCUUUAAGUAGAAAAAUUCCUUUACGCCCUUUGCGGGGGUGUUACAGUGAAAAAGAAGGUGUGACACUCCAGAGGAAACAGGUCAAGGAUCCUCCUCCAAGGUCAGUUCUGCUCCAGCACCCUUUCCACACUUUCCUGUUAAGCCCUUGGAGAUUUUGGUUCCUGAGAUGAGGUCUAGUGAUGAGGAAGACCAAGAUAACAUUGCUCUGGAUGCUUUCAUUUUCAAUAGAAGGGCAGUAAUCAAUUUUGAGUCUUCUACUAAGCGACCUACUACUAGGUUGAAAGCUAAAGAGACUUAUGAGUCUGCCCUACAAAAGAUCAAAAGGAGCAGUAAGAAGAAAGCGAAGAGGUUGGUAAAAAUGGAGAAGUGGUAAAUGACAAGGACAUUCCUGUGGUGGAAGUCAAUGAGGAAACAACAAAGGAACCUAGUUCCUUGGUUAACAAAUCUCAGAAGAAGAAGCAACAUGCUUCAGUGGAGGAUGUUACUACUCCUAAUUCAAAGGUGAAAGGUAUUGUGAAAGCAGGAAAGUUGAAACAUGUUGUGAGUGAACAGUAUUUUUUGAUGAGGAUAUGUUGAACAAGUCUAGUAGAAAAGCAAAACCAAGUGUGAAGUCUGGAAAAAGGAAGUUGGAACCUGUGAGGGAACCUGUUUCUGCAAAGAGAGUAAAAUGUGAGGCUAGGUCUUCUACGUAACGAUUGAGGCACCAAAAGGUCUUGUUGGGUCGUACUUUUGACCUAGCAAUUUCUGAUAUGGUUGGCAUGAGACAAGUAAUUGAGGUUGAGUUUCAAUGCUGGGGGAAUCUAUUCCAAAUAGAUGCACCCAAGGUGUAUGAGGAUGGGGUCCAAUUCUUAUAUGCCGUCCACUUUCUUUUUGACACUGACCAUAUUUCUGCUUUAGUUAACGGGGUGGAUGUUGUGUUUGAUGUUUCUCUACUUGGGGAUAUUCUGAAAGUCCCUACUGUUGGUAUGUCUUCUGUGAAGGAUGUGUGUGGGUCAAACUUCAGAAAUACUAUCGUGAAGGAUAAUGCAAACCAGAAGGGGGAACGAGUUAAUAAGAAAGCCUUGCUCCCUGUUUAUCAAUUACUUUUUGAGCUGGUGGACAAGGUUUUUCUACGCCGUGCUGAUAGGAGGUCCAUGACUUCCAGGUUUGACUUGUAUCUGAUGGAGGCACUGGAUGGAUUUACACAUGUGAACUUGCCUGCCAUCAUAAUUGAGCAUAUACUGAAGGUGGCGACUUUUAUGGAUGGAAACCAUGGACUUCCACAUGGGUUUCUUCGCAUGCAUGUUUUUCAAGUUCUUCAAAGUGCCACUGGGACAGUGCAAAGUAGGGACCAAGAGGCAAACUUUCUCUCAAACAACAUUGGAGGAAUGUGAGUGUAUCGAAAAGAAUGGAAGGGUAGACAGUACUUCGACAAUCUCUCAGCUCAUCAAUGCUCAAAAUAGUGUAACUAACGAGAUUUGAAAGUUGAAGGCGAGGAACGCUAUCCUGGAAGAUCAACAUGCCCAAGGGGCCUUAGGGUCAAAUAAGGAGAUAGCUCGUUUGACCAAAGAAAAUGCUGAUCUUAUGGCACGAGUGGAGAACCUGAAGAAGAAACUGCUCGCCGAGCAAAUGUCGGCGCAUUCCCUAAUAGAUCUUGUUCUUCGAACCCUUGCUGCAACUUCCAAACCCUCUCCUCCUAGUGUCCCUUAGGCAGCCCUUUCAGUGACCAGUCGUUGUUUUUGUUUCCUUUUGUGAUAUGGAUGAGAUGUACUUGUACUGUUCCCACUGAAAACAGUCCAAUCUUUGCCUUUGUUGUAUAGCAAAGGCAUAUGUUUUAUAUAUAAAAACUAUCCUCUUUUGCUAUUUAAUACUUAUGCUUCUCUGUUUCUAUAUUCUAUCAUGUUGUGUGCACAUAUGUGGCAUGAGUUAGCUAGGCUAGACUUCUUUAUGCUAAUUGAUUGCUUGUGUAUUUUUAAUGAUGCCAAAAGGGGGAAAUAUAAUUGAAAUAGGGAUCUGAUUAAGGGGGAAGCAUAGAGUCAUGGGGAACUUGUGAGGUUCUUGUUGCUUCAUCUAGUUAAUUAUGCUCUAAAUGUGGGUUAUCAAUUUUUAAGUUUUUCAUCAUUAAAAUGGGGGAAAUUGAUGGUUUUCCAAUGUCUUAUCUUUAUGUUUUGAUGAUCUAAUAAACUUAUUGUCAAAGAACCGGAUAAGGAACCUGACACACUUGGUACAUAUUGUUAAUCAACGGACUCCGGCUAAUGUGAACUACUACAACUUCAGGAGAUAGAGAACCAACACGAGGACCUGAUACCCUUGUGUUGACAGCAAUAUGAAGUCAACUGUGUACAACUAGAAAGUGAGUGCAUGCACUGUACACAGAAACAAUUCAAUGCAAUUUUGCAGCCACUUGUCCUUUGACCAACCAAGUGAUUACAUCAUUCAAGGGAUGCAUUCAAGUUGUAUUAACAAGAGUAUUACAACAAAAUAUUACUUGAAAAAUUUUCAAGCAUUCAAGCCAUCUGAUAUUCGAGCAUUCAAUUAUCAAGUGCAUCAAGAAUAAAGUUUAACGCUACUACGCACCAGUUCCUAAAUAUAGUAUUUUAUUGUCCUUAGUUGAGUUGUAACUUUAUAGUUGUUCUUCAUCGUAAUUCAUAAUUUUCUUAGCUAAAAGCAUUUCUUAGGAACCCUCUUGUAAAAUCAUAAAACCUUAGUGUUUGUGUCAUGACUGGAGUUAGUCAUGAGUUGAAGUCUUUGUAAUAGGUGUAUUGCAAAGUGUCUUGUAAUAGGUAUAUUACAAGUUAGUGAGAGAUUAAUAGUUUAAUUCCUAGAUUGAAUAUGUUGUAAUCUAAAAGUUGUUUAUAGUGAAGUUGAAAUC